rnacentral:misc_RNA from 1 species
GAUGAAGAACGUAGCGAAAUGCGAUAAGUAGUGUGAAUUGCAGAAUUCAGUGAAUCAUCGAAUCUUUGAACGCACAUUUCGCCCUUUGGUAUUCCUUAGGGCAUGCCUGUUCGAGCGUCAUUUAAACCUUCAAGCUCAGCUUGGUGUUGGGUGACUGUCCGCUUCACCGCGGACUCGCCUCAAAAUUAUUGGCGGCCGGUACAUUGGCUUCGAGCGCAGCAGAAACGCGAACUCGGGCCCGUCGUAUUGGCUCCCAGAAGCUAUCUUCACAAUUUUGACCUCGGAUCAGGUAGGGAUACCCGCUGAACUUAAGCAUAUCAAUAAGCGGAGGA